UACGUAGGGUGCGAGCGUUGUUCGGAAUUACUGGGCGUAAAGGGCUCGUAGGCGGCCAACUAAGUCAGACGUGAAAUCCCUCGGCUUAACCGGGGAACUGCGUCUGAUACUGGAUGGCUUGAGUUUGGGAGAGGGAUGCGGAAUUCCAGGUGUAGCGGUGAAAUGCGUAGAUAUCGGGAGGAACACCGUUGGCGAAGGCGACUUUCUGGGCUGCUACUGACGCUGAUGCGCGAAAGCCAGGGGAGCGAACAGG
rnacentral:rRNA from 1 species